rnacentral:rRNA from 1 species
AACUAUAACGGUCCUAAGGUAGCGAAAUUCCUUGUCAGGUAAGUUCUGACCCGCACGAAAGGCGUAACGAUUUGGGCGCUGUCUCAGCUGUAGACUCGGUGAAGUCUUAGUACCUGUGAAGAUGCAGGUUACCCGCGACUAGACGGAAAGACCCCAUGGAGCUUUACUGUAGCUUGAUAUUGGACUUUGAUGCAAGAUGUACAGGAUAGGUAGGAGACUGAGAGACAUGCACGCCAGUGUGUGAGGAGUCAAUGUUGGGAUACUACUCUUCUUGUAUUGGAGUUCUAACCGGAUGCCAUGGAACUGGCAACGGGACAGUGUCAGGUGGGCAGUUUGACUGGGGCGGUCGCCUCCCAAAGAGUAACGGAGGCGCCCAAAGAUACCCUCAGCUUGGAUGGAAAUCAAGCGCAGAGUGCAAAGGCAUAAGGGUGUUUGACUGCGAGACCUACAAGUCGAGCAGGGACGAAAGUCGGGCUUAGUGAUCCGGCGGUGCUGAAUGGAAAGGCCGUCGCUCAACGGAUAAAAGCUACCCUGGGGAUAACAGGCUGAUCUCCCCCAAGAGUUCACAUCGACGGGGAGGUUUGGCACCUCGAUGUCGGCUCAUCGCAUCCUGGGGCUGAAGUAGGUCCCAAGGGUUGGGCUGUUCGCCCAUUAAAGCGGUACGCGAGCUGGGUUCAGAACGUCGUGAGACAGUUCGGUCCCUAUCUGUCGUGGGCGUAGGAAGUUUGAGAAGAUCUGUCCUCAGUACGAGAGGACCGGGAUGGACAUAUCAAUGGUGCACCAGUUGUCACGCCAGUGGCACAGCUGGGUAGCUAAAUAUGGAAGGGAUAAACGCUGAAGGCAUCUAAGUGUGAAACCCACUUCAAGAUGAGACUUCCCAUUACGCAAGUAAGUAAGACCCCUUAAAGACGAUAAGGUUGAUAGGUCAGGAGUGUAAGCAUGGCGACAUGUUCAGCGGACUGAUACUAAUAGGUCGAGGACUUAACCUA